rnacentral:rRNA from 1 species
UACGUAGGGGGCAAGCGUUGUCCGGAUUCAUUGGGCGUAAAGAGCGUGUAGGCGGCCAGACAGGUCCGUUGUGAAAACUCGAGGCUCAACCUCGAGAUGUCGAUGGAAACCGUCUGGCUAGAGUCCGGAAGAGGAGUGUGGAAUUCCUGGUGUAGCGGUGAAAUGCGCAGAUAUCAGGAAGAACACCGAUGGCGAAGGCAGUUCUCUGGGCCGUAACUGACGCUGAGGAGCGAAAGCGUGGGGAGCGAACAGG